GAUGAACGCUAGCGGCAGGCCUAAUACAUGCAAGUCGAACGGUAAGUAUGAUAGCAAUAUUGUACCAAGAGUGACGUACGGGUNCGUAACACGUAUGCAACCUACCCUUUANAGAUGGAUAGCUCGGGGAAACUCGAAUUAACCCGUCAUAGUAUAGUUGAAUGGCACCAUUUAAUUAUUAAAACUGAGGUGGUAAAGGAUGGGCAUGCGUCU
rnacentral:rRNA from 1 species